AGGUGAUUAUUUGUAUGACAGGAUAAAUGUUAUUCUAUUCUCCAGUAUUUCUUUCAUAGUAGAAAGGUCUAAUAUAUAUAUUGACAUUUUCACUGAAUAUAGGCAGUCAUUACUCUGUUCUACUCGGGGCAUCCAGAAGCCUCUUGAUCUGUAUACAUCCUGAAUGUUGCUUUGAGAGAAAAGCUUAUUUUUGCAACAUUUCUCUUUUUGUUUUCUCCUGUCAGCAUUGAGACGUGUGCACCACCCCUUGACACGUUCCGGCCCUGACCCCUGCCGGGUGGAGCAGGGUGAACUUCCUUCCUGUGGAGACCCACGAAGGUUCUACGAAACAACAGUUCUUUCCUGGGAUGCCAGUGUUGCCAGGAUAUGAGUGGAUAUAGUAAACAGAGCUGUUCAUACAGUUUGUAGCCUCGUGAGCAGGAAAUGGAGAUGAACACGGAUACAGCAGCACUUAAUCACCAGCAUUACUCUUACCUCACCAGAUUUCAGGAGGAGACACUGGCUGACUGAUGUGCCACUCACUCCAUCUUCAAGCAAACAUAAGGCUCACCUACAGGGUUCCACUGCAGAUUUUGGCCUGCUGGUUGUUGGGGUGGUUGUCAUGGGUGGAGUCAAACAUCUGGGCCAAUAUCCAUCCUGAAACAUCAUUCCUGUAUUUCUGCAUAGGACAACAGAGGAUCGGAAAACCUGAGAACACUCUUGAAAUGGCAACAGGAAACAAGGAGAAAUGAAGUGAGCUCCGUGCCAGAGGCUCUUUAGAGAUCCAAGAGUCCCAUCAGCAGUAGCGCAGAAGAGUCCAUAAACCCAGCGGUCUCCACUCAAGUUUCCAUCUGCUAAAUUCUAGUCUAGUUAAAUAAGAGGCGGAAUCUUUUUCCAGCAGAGUCCACUAUUACUGUACUGAGAUCAGUGGGACAGCUGGACAAGAGAACUGGCUUCAACAUCCAUGACCUUCAGAGAGGUCAGCCCACAUCCACAUGCUCUUUGGCACAGGAAGCAGUUUGAGAUUUCAUUUGAUUUUACUGGCACUUGAAAUAGCAGGCGAUUUGAAAAAAGGUGUGGCAAUACCAAAGCUGCUAUUUUUCACAUUAUAUAAUGGCAGCUGAAAUCAAUGGAAAGUGUUUUGCAGGAAUCAGAUUAUGUGUAUGAAAUGGAAUUACAUUAUGAAACUGUUUCCCUAUUUAAAUAAGCUAAGAGGCUUGUAAGCUGAAAGCAAUAUGACCAUUUCUCUCUCUUUCUCUCUCACUUCAGUGUUUGUUUAUGCUGAAGAAACAGAGAGCUGAGAGUGCAUAACUGCUCUGCAAAUCAGGAAAUUAUAUAUUAAAAGGUUACAUAUACUGAAAAUAUCUCACCCAGUGCAAUGUUUGUUUGAAAUCUGUUUGAUGCUAAUUAAACACAAAGGCCAUUUUAUUGUUUUAGACUGUUUUAUAUGUGAAACAUGCUGCUCAUGCAUGUUAGUUAACAGUGCCAGGGUUAAGUAAGUAAUACGAGUAGUGUAUAGCAUUAUUAAAAGGAUAUUUCACCAAAAAAAAAAGAAAAAAAAAUCCACCCACAUAUUUGAUUUGAACUGCAGACAGUGUUUGAUCUGUGCAUUUAUCUGUCAAUUUUGUGGAUUUAAGACUUGUACAAGCACACAGAUUUUCACUUUACUUUUUCACGUUUAAUAAUGGCCUGGAGUUGUGUAAAUUGCUUGUGGAUUAUUGUGAUGUUUUUAUUCAUCAUUCUGAUGGCACCCAUUCACUACAGAGGAUCUAUUGGUGAGCAAGUAAUGCAAUGGUAAAUUUCUCUAAAUCUGUUCAAAUGAAGAAACACUCAUCUGCCACUUGGAUCACACGAGGCUGAUCAUAAAAUGUUAUCAUAUAAAAGAUCAGAGGCAAUUUGACUUUUAUACUUUCUCUGUUUCUCUACAAGGUUUCUCUUUCCUCGUGUCUCAGAGAACCAGAGGACAAACUCUGUUCUGUCAAACUCAUUCUGCUCCAUCUCCUUCAGUCUAGGACAAUGAGAACGUCUCUACCAAGAUCCUAAAUCACUGACAAACAAAGCAUUGCACUGGUGUGACAGAAAAGUGAUAACAGGCCAGCUGUAUCCGCUGCUGGUGUGGGACUGCUCGAGUUUGAUGCACAUCAUUCAACUUGUCUCUUUUGGUUUUCUUUCAAAGGCCUCUUUCUUGUCCUUAUUCCCUCUCUCUUUAUUGACAAGCUAGAACAGAACUGUCAUUUUUGGUGUCCCGCAUCUAAUUUCAAGGCAGUGGAUGUGCACACAUAGACAGAGUUUCACCGAGAUGGAUGUAGGAUGAUGGUAUGAUAUCAAUGUUUGCGGUAGGAGGAUGAGUGGGAAGAAAAUAUGACUGCCCUGUUGAUUUUUUUAUUUUUUUGCCAAGUUGUUGGUUGAAGCUGAGUGGACAGAGUUUAGACGGGGCUGGUGCUGUCCGUUGAACUGUGAGCACUCAAACAUAGAGAAAGCAUGAAAGAGAUGGUUUAACAUUGAAGAUUGUAUCACUUUUAUUCCUGUUUUGUGGGUGGAAUUCCAUCUCUGAACUAGAAGUAUAAACAGCUAAUUUCCGAUACUGUGCUCCUCAGUUCAUCAGCUUCAUCACGCCUCGCUGAUGUCUGAGUAAUGGGUGAGGACAGAGUUCAUCUGAGGUUUCGGAGAACUCACACCACACUGAUAUAUUCUGCAGUGUGUUCAUCUGGACACGGCAGCCGCGUGAAACGGCAAAAUAUUUCCCUUUAGCCAUACAGUCUACAUUUUGAAGUUUUAUUGUUGACUCCUAAUGGAAAUUAUAGAUUUUUUACAACAACUGAAAUCUAUUUUACAAUGUUGAUGAUAUAUUUUUUUUUCCCCCUCACCACCUUCAGAAAGUUCUGACUUCUAGAUAAAUUACAGUUUGUGAUUAUGAGUUUGAUUACUGAUUAGGAUUUUAUAUUA